rnacentral:rRNA from 1 species
GACGAACCGUCCAAACGUUAUUCGGAAUCACUGGGCUUAAAGGGUGCGUAGGCGGCGCGGAAAGUUGGGUGUGAAAUCCCUCGGCUCAACCGAGGAACUGCGCCCAAAACUACCGUGCUCGAGGAAGAUAGAGGUGAGCGGAACUUAGGGUGGAGCGGUGAAAUGCGUUGAUAUCCUAAGGAACACCGGUGGCGAAAGCGGCUCACUGGACUGGUAUUGACGCUGAGGUGCGAAAGCGUGGGGGAGCAAACAGGG